GUGGCAGUAGUGUAGUUGGUUAGCACUUAACCUUGCCAAGGUUAGAACUCGGGUUCGAAUCCCGGCUGCCGCA
rfam:Methanogenic archaeon ISO4-H5 chromosome, complete genome.